UGCCAGAGUAGAUGACACCAUGUUUGUGCCCUCUUAUUUAAUCAUUUGCAGCAUUAUUACUUUUUGGAAGGUCUUUUUAAACACACACACACACACACACACACACACACACACACACACACACACACACACACACUUUUCACAUUUGUCAGCACAUUGAUAAACUGAAACCUUAUCCCUACAAUAGAAGCUCUGUAGUAUAAUUCUUUUAAAUAAUAAAAAAAAGCAUUUUCAAAAGGGGAAAAAUGCAAGGAAUAUUUCUGUUUGAUUCUCUCUUCAUCCCCACAGGAUGCCCAUGAGCCCUGAAUGAAACCAGUCUAUUUGACACUCCGGCUACAGACGGACAGACACAAUCUGUGAUCACUUGUAAGACACCACAGAUUUCAAGAGCACAGCAAUACUGCUUUGAUCCCUGGGACAUUUCUCUGAAUUGCAUUUCUUAAGGCAGUAUGUGUGCAGCUAAAAAGAACCUGACAUUAUGAGAUGGACAAGUUUGCAUUCUGAACCAGCUACAGACUUCUGCGUCACACUUUCUGCUCACUGCUCCCAGUCCCUGCAACUUCCUCGAAACCCCUCUUCACCCUCUGCUGAGUUACUAUUCCAGACUACCAAGUGCAUCUAACAGAGAAUGAGUGACGUGCUAUUCACGGGUGCUUAAGAACUGAAAGAGGAUUAUAAUUGCAAGUUGAGGCCAAAAUGUGCAAGCCACGAGUAAGAUUUGCAGUCCCGUGUGGUUGCUUCUGGAGCAUGGGCAGAAAGUUUGGCCUGCUUGUGCAACAGCACACACAGAGAAGCACUGGGGGAGUUACACAUGGGCUCCAUCAUGUCACUGCAGUCCCUCCUUAUAUGUGCCCUUUGUUUGGAUGUAGCACACAGUGUCCAUGGUGUGAGUGCAUUGUGCAUAUUAUGUCCUCCCCCCACGUUCUUUGCCAUUAGUUACUUGUCUACAUAGGCCUUAGAAGUUGUUCAUGACUGUGGAUUGUCAAAUUGUAUGAGGGAAAUGUUUUUUAUUCUCAGAGUUUGUUUCUUGUAACCCAAGGUGGUUGGGGUGGUUGGGUGGCUGUGUUUUUAUAACACAAAAACAGCAACUUGAAUUGAGCUCAAAGGACUAUCAAGUUGUACAGCUUGUGAAGAAUAAAUUCCAUACGUUACAUAAUAAAUUCAAGGCAACUGAAAAUAAAAAUGGAACUGAAGACAAUUAAAGACAAUUACAUGACAGCUCAGCUGCAGUCGUUAACCCAACAACCAGAACCAGAUCUCAUUCUAGCCUUCUUCUGAAGUUAUCUCUCCAUUACCACUAAAUGUGGGCAAUGAGAAAGCAAGGAAGGUGGCUAGCUGUCAUGAUCCCAGAUCCAGGGGACCCCCAGGGGUGUGCAUGGAACUGGGUUUUUGGUUCAGUUCGAAUUCCAGGCAAAUUUGAAAUGAACCACCGGUCACAAGUCUGGGUCCAUUUGGUUGAACCAGUUCAAACCAGUUUGAGGGCUAGGCUUGUGAAGGGGAAUCCAGUGUGGAUUUCCCUUUACAACCAAAGGGGGCCCCUGCCUUUAAAGAGUACUAAGGGCAGCUGGGGUGGUGGUGGUAAGAGGGCACCUUACUGGCUUUGCCACCAACCCGUGAUGCUGGCAAGGAGUU